AGAGUUUGAUCAUGGCUCAGAACGAACGCUGGCGGCAUGCCUAGCACAUGCAAGUCGAACGAGACCUUCGGGUCUAGUGGCGCACGGGUGCGUAACGCGUGGGAAUCUGCCCUUAGGUUCGGAAUAACAGUUAGAAAUGACUGCUAAUACCGGAUAAUGACGUAAGUCCAAAGAUUUAUCGCCUAGGGAUGAGCCCGCGUAGGAUUAGCUAGUUGGUGGGGUAAAAGCCUACCAAGGCGACGAUCCUUAGCUGGUCUGAGAGGAUGAUCAGCCACACUGGGACUGAGACACGGCCCAGACUCCUACGGGAGGCAGCAGUGGGGAAUAUUGCGCAAUGGGCGGAAGCCUGACGCAGCGACGCCGCGUGGGGGAUGACGGCCUUCGGGUUGUAAACCUCUUUCAGCAGGGACGAAGCGCAAGUGACGGUACCUGCAGAAGAAGCACCGGCCAACUACGUGCCAGCAGCCGCGGUAAUACGUAGGGUGCAAGCGUUGUCCGGAAUGACUGGGCGUAAAGGGCGCGUAGGCGGCCAUUCACGUCGGAUGUGAAAGCCCGGGGCUCAACCCCGGAACGGCAUCCGAUACGGGCUGGCUCGAGACCGAGAGAGGUGAGUGGAAUACCCAGUGUAGAGGUGAAAUUCGUAGAUAUUGGGUGGAACACCGGUGGCGAAAGCGGCUCACUGGCUCGGUUCUGACGCUGAGGCGCGAAAGCGUGGGGAGCAAACAGGAUUAGAUACCCCGGUAGUCC
rnacentral:rRNA from 1 species